GUGAAUGAUGAAGGUCUUAGGAUUGUAAAAUUCUUUCACCGGGGAAGAUAAUGACGGUACCCGGAGAAGAAGCCCCGGCUAACUUCGUGCCAGCAGCCGCGGUAAUACGAAGGGGGCUAGCGUUGCUCGGAUUUACUGGGCGUAAAGGGCGCGUAGGCGGACAGUUUAGUCAGAGGUGAAAGCCCGGGGCUCAACCCCGGAAUUGCCUUUGAUACUGGCUGUCUUGAGUUUGGGAGAGGUAUGCGGAACUCCGAGUGUAGAGGUGAAAUUCGUAGAUAUUCGGAAGAACACCAGUGGCGAAGGCGGCAUACUGGCCCAAUACUGACGCUGAGGCGCGAAAGCGUGGGGAGCAAACAGGAUUAGAUACCCUGGUAGUCCACGCCGUAAACGAUGAUUGCUAGUUGUCGGCACGCAUGCGUGUCGGUGACGCAGCUAACGCAUUAAGCAAUCCGCCUGGGGAGUACGGUCGCAAGAUUAAAACUCAAAGGAAUUGACGGGGGU
rnacentral:rRNA from 1 species